rnacentral:rRNA from 1 species
GAUGAAUGCUGGCGGCGUGUCUAAGGCAUGCAAGUCGAAUGGUUUUUUGCUCUUUACUUCGUUCGGAGCUACGAACUAUAAGCGCUGAUUAAAAAGGUACUUGUAGUUUGUAGCUCGAGCGCGGUGAUGAGUAAAGAACCAUGGCGAACGGGAGAGUAACACAUUGAUAACCUUCCCUGAAGACGAGGAUAACCUUGCGAAAGCAAGAAUAAUACUCGAUGGUAUUAAAUGGCUUAUGCUGUUUAAUUAAAGUUCCGGCGCUUCAGGAGGGGUCUAUGGCCUAUCAGUUUGUUGGUGGGGUAAUGGCCUACCAAGACUACGACGGGUACCGGGUGUGAGAGCAUGACCCGGCUCACUGGGACUGAGAUACUGCCCAGACUCCUACGGGAGGCUGCAGUCAAGAAUAUUCCUCAAUGGACGAAAGUCUGAAGGAGCGACGCCGCGUGUAUGAAGAAGCCUUUCGGGGUGUAAAGUACUUUUAUUAGGGAUGAACAAUGACAGUACC